rnacentral:rRNA from 1 species
AGAUGGCGACCGGCGCACGGGUGAGUAACACGUAUCCAACCUGCCGAUAACUCGGGGAUAGCCUUUCGAAGAAAGAUUAAUACCCGAUGGUAUAAUCAGACCGCAUGGUUUGAUUAUUAAAGAAUUUCGGUUAUCGAUGGGGAUGCGUUCCAUUAGGCAGUUGGUGAGGUAACGGCUCACCAAACCUUCGAUGGAUAGGGGUUCUGAGAGGAAGGUCCCCCACAUUGGAACUGAGACACGGUCCAA